rnacentral:rRNA from 1 species
UACGGGGGGGGCAAGCGUUGUUCGGAAUUACUGGGCGUAAAGGGCUCGUAGGCGGCCAACUAAGUCAGACGUGAAAUCCCUCAGCUUAACUGAGGAACUGCGUCUGAUACUGGAUGGCUUGGAUUUGGGAGAGGGAUGCGGAAUUCCAGGUGUAGCGGUGAAAUGCGUAGAUAUCGAGAGGAACACCUGCGGCGAAGGCGGGUUGCUGGGCUGACACUGACGCUGAGGCGCGAAAGCCAGGGGAGCGAACGGG